UACGGGGGGGGCAAGCGUUGUUCGGAAUUACUGGGCGUAAAGGGCUCGUAGGCGGCCAACUAAGUCAGAUGUGAAAUCCCCAGGCUUAACCUGGGAACUGCAUCUGAUACUGGAUGGCUUGAAUCCGGGAGAGGGAUGCAGAAUUCCAGGUGUAGCGGUGAAAUGCGUAGAUAUCUGGAGGAAUACCGGUGGCGAAGGCGGCAUCCUGGACCGGCAUUGACGCUGAGGAGCGAAAGCUAGGGGAGCAAACAGG
rnacentral:rRNA from 1 species